AGUUAGCAAUGCCGAAGAAAACAAAUGAAAAUGCACAACCAAAUAUGGGUCAUCGUCAUUUUUGUUGUGUUUGGCACUUACUGGUGAAUCUCUUCCCACGACAGAAGGCAGGAAUAAGUUCAUUUGAUGUGCAUUGUGCAGUGCGCAUUUAAAGUAUGGCUGUCAAUUUCCGCUGCGGUUAGAAGUAUUAUGUGGGAUCAGUGAUUAUGGUAUUCCCUAUUAUAUUGGAACCAAUUAUGAUUCUGCUUAAUAAGCCUAUACAGAUGCAACCUACAUGCAUAUUCAAGCUGUAGGUAGGUGUAAUUUCUUCUUCAAUUUUGGCUUCUAAUGUUUUCACUUCAGUUUUAAGAUUUUAAGAUUGAUGAACAAGAUGUUUGAACUAUACGUGCUCUAUUGGACAAGAUGUUUGGAUUUCGGGACUUGCAGGACUAUAUGGAGUUAAUAUAUGUUACCUAGGUA